CAGCCGCCGCGGUAAUACGAAGGGUGCAAGCGUUAAUCGGAAUUACUGGGCGCAAAGCGCGCGUAGGCGGUUUGUUAAGUCUGUUGUGAAAUCCCCGGGCUCAACCUGGGAAUGGCAAUGGAUACUGGCAAGCUAGAGUGUGUCAGAGGAUGGUGGAAUUCCCGGUGUAGCGGUGAAAUGCGUAGAGAUCGGGAGGAACAUCAGUGGCGAAGGCGGCCAUCUGGGACAACACUGACGCUGAGGCGCGAAAGCGUGGGGAGCAAACAGGAUUAGAUACCCGGGUAGUCCCUGUCUCUUAUAC
rnacentral:rRNA from 1 species